GGUUGAUCCUGCCAGUAGUCAUAUGCUUGUCUCAAAGAUUAAGCCAUGCAUGUCUAAGUAUACGCAAAUUAUACUGUGAAACUGCGAAUGGCUCAUUAAAUCAGUUAUAGUUUAUUUGAUGUUUCUUGCUACAUGGAUAACUGUGGUAAUUCUAGAGCUAAUACAUGCGUAAAAAGCCCCGACUUCGGAAGGGGUGUAUUUAUUAGAUAAAAACCAUCCUCCUCGGAGUUUGGUGAUUCAUAAUAACUUCUCGAAUCGCACGGCCUUGUGCUGGCGAUGCUUCAUUCAAAUAU
rnacentral:rRNA from 1 species